rnacentral:rRNA from 1 species
UACGUAGGGGGCGAGCGUUGUCCGAAUUUACUGGGCGUAAAGAGCGCGUAGGCGGAUUGUUAAGUGAGAGGUGAAAGGUUCAGGGCUCAACCCGAACAGUGCCUUUCAUACUGGCGAUCUUGAGUAUGGGAGAGGCGAGUGGAAUUUCUGGUGUAGCGGUGAAAUGCGUAGAUAUCGGGAGGAACACCGGUGGCGAAGGCGGGUCUCUGGGCAACAACUGACGCUGAGGAGCGAAAGCGUGGGGAGCGAACAGG